rnacentral:sRNA from 1 species
CUAUUGGCCAUUGCUUAUGGGUUCUAUCUCGGCUGUUGCGUUGCUGGUGCCUUCGAACCUUGGCCCUUGCAGCUGCCUCUUCACCAAGGCCGUGUAGAUGCCGUCGCGGCUGAGGAGCUCGUCGUGCGUGCCGCUCUCCACUAUCUGGCCGUCGGAGAUGACGGCGACGGUGUCGGCGCUCUUGACGGUGGAUAGCCGGUGAGCUAUCACAAGCACGGUCCUCCCUUUCAUCAGAGAGUCCAUUGCAUCCUGUACCUGAACAAGAUACUCGCUUUCAGCGUCUAGUGCACUGGUAGCUUCAUCCAAGAGGAGCACUCGAGGGUUCAUAAGCAAAGCUCUUGCAAUGGCGACUCUCUGCUUCUGCCCACCUGAUAACCUGAUGCCUCGCUCUCCAACUACAGUCUUGUAUUGGUCUGGAAAACUGCAUAUGAAAUUGUGGGCGUUUGCCAUUUUCUGCAUCCAGAACUGCAUUCUCAACGUCAGCAGAGCUGGCUUUGCCCUCUAAUCCGUAAGCAAUAUUCUCUUCGAUGGAGCAGUUAAAGAGCACAGGCUCCUGACUAACAAUGCUUACCUUCCUGUGGAGAAACUGAUGUGAAAUCUCUGGCAAAGGCACUCCAUUAAGCAAGAUUCUUCCUUUUAGAGGGUCAUAAAACCGUUCAAUUAAAUUUGCUAUUUCCUCACUUUCCCACCACCACUUGGCCCAACAAGAGCUACCUUUGAACCUGGUGUUAACUUCAACAAAAUAUUAUACCUUCAGAAUCAUAUGAGAAGGCCGAGAGGGAUAUGCAAACCAGACAUCGUCGAGCUCAACCUCCCCAUCAUUUUCAUUGUUGGGCAUCUGUCCCCGGAAUUUGCCAUUGAGGAAACACGGUCCAGAAGUUGAAAUACUCGUCGGCUUGCGCCCGAUGCUUUCAUUACAGUUGUGUAUAGUCCUGACAAGGCAGAGACUGACGACCCAACUGUAAGGCUGUACAAAAUGAACGAUGUGAGAGAACCAGUUGUCAUGUAACCGUUGAUGGUUAAGUUAGCGCCAUAAAUAACUACAAUGACCACUGAUAGGGUUGAUGCUGCAUUGAGCCCUCCAGAAAACAUGCCAACAACUUUAGCUUGCUUGAGACCGAGUUUCAGUGUCUCAUCUACUUUCUCACCAUAUCGUAAGACUUCAUGACUCUCCUGAGCAAACGAUCUUACUGUGCGAAUGGCACCAAAAGAUUCCUGAACACAAUUAGAUAGAUUUCAACAGCAGCUGCUGCCUGUGUCUGAUGUGAAAGUUCACGAAGAAAGCGUCCAAAUUUGCGCACAGCAAUUGAUAUAACCGGAACAAUUACAAGUGCCAGCACUGUGAAGAAAGUAGGAAUGAGUUGCAAACAUAAAACCAAGACCAAUAGACGUAGUAGUAAUAUUGCGCAAUGCUUCUGAAAGGUUAGUUGUAGCAGCAUUCUUUAUUAUUUGCGUAUCUUCAGAAAGCCUGCUUAAUAGCUCUCCUGUUCUAGUGACAUCAAAAAAUGCUAUUUCCUGUGUUUGCACAAGAUAAGCUAUGACUAAACAAGUCCUUCCUCAGUCGAGCAACUACUCUCUCACUAGCAGAAUUGAAUAGCCAUGCCCGAAGCGCUAAGAUACCCAGUUACGACGAUUAUGACAAUAUACAAUAUUGUGCCCGUCACAUCAUCUAGGGCUUGAGCUUUAUCUUCUGGACGCCGAACAUCUCUUGAAACAAUGUCAAUUAUCUUUCCACCAUAUUUCGGCUAAUGUUACUGAGCGAAGCGACGAGCAGCGCCAUGGUGGCAAUAACCAGCUUCCCCGCGUCAUGCCUCGCCUGCAACCCAUAUGGCUCACGAAAGCGGAUUCGGCUCCGAACCUGGACGUUGCUCCCCUCCUCGAGAUCGGAGAGCGCCCUCGACGUCUCC